rnacentral:rRNA from 1 species
GCGGUGAAGGAUGAGCCCGCGGCCUAUCAGCUUGUUGGUGGGGUAAUGGCCUACCAAGGCGACGACGGGUAGCCGGCCUGAGAGGGCGACCGGCCACACUGGGACUGAGACACGGCCCAG